ensembl:lincRNA
AUUUAGCCAAAACUAAGUAAGACAAUUGCCAAAGGGUGGGAGUAAGUAGAGAUAUUGUGAAAUUUUAUUCUGCAAAGCUGAUCCUAAGCCUACUAAAGCAACCCCUGCUGGCUUCUGGGCCUUCGUUGGGAACAUCAGAAGGACACUCCUUUCAGGGUAAUGCACACCCUGAACGCAGGAAUGAGGAACAGAGGAAAAGAGAAAUAAAUGAACCCAAUUCUAUCACCUAAUAAGACUUGGAACUAGGAAAAAUCUUGGCUCCGGUUUGCUGUGAAGUUGAAACAGAUUUUUUUGCUCCGUUCAUACUGAAAAGCACACCUGCACAACCUUCUCUUUCCUGACUCGAAGAGUGCCUUUCAAACAAUCCAGGGGAAAGACAGCCCUCGAUGAUGUAACGUCAUCUUGAUUCCCUUUUCAGCAAAAAUCUCAACCUAUUUCCAUGCAUCAGGUUCCAGUCUGUCAAGACUCUGAAAAUGAUACGGACAGCGUCAAAAUGAUGACGUCUGGACCUGGUACAGGUGUGACGUUGGGUGGGCAAAUGACCACUGCCUUUUGGCACCCCCGGCUCAUCCCCACGAUCCAGCAACUCAAGAGUUAACACAAGCUCCAGCAGGAUCCGCCAAGACUGGCUGAUGUCCAUUGGAACGAUUGAAGGACUGAACGUGAUGAAGAUCAAACCCAAUUCCAGGCAAGCAAAAGGGUUUCACUUCCUAGAGGUUGCUGACAGUGUGCCCCCCGGAGAUUGUAUUCUUCCAUCUGCUGCCAUAUUGCUGGGACCACCACCACUUGCUCUGUCUGGAGGAAAUUCCAUGUUAUUAUCUCAACCCCAGUGGUUCUCAAACUUGAACCUUCAUCAGAGUCACAUGGAGGGUUUGUUAAAACACAGACUUGUGGACUUCACCCCUAGACCUUCAGGCUCCAUGGCUGUCGGAUAGGCCCUGAGAAUUUGCAUUUCUGACGAGCUCCCAGACGAUAUUGAUGCCGCUGGUCUGCCUGUCCACCACGUUCUGAAGACCACUGCUGUAAAGCCUGUUUUCUCCAGUGCCUACCACUCUGGGGUGUUCUCGGGUCAAGAAGACGUUGAACCUGGUGAACAAGUCGGGAGACAAAGCCCUGUUAAGGGUCUCAGAGUAAGCUCACUGAGUCUCUAGGGAAUAGGGGACAGAGUAAGAUUUUAGCCCUGCAAUUUGCCUGGGGCAGAAUGUAUGACGUUUGUUAGCUCAUCCUACUGAAGCUGCCCUCUGGUGCGCUGUGGACAAGGUGAUUUCUGUGCCAUACGUCAUGUACAGAGAUUCCCCUGGUUUCUGAGAAAGAAGUUGCACUAAGGAAAGAAGAUAUGAUGGCAAAGAAAGCUGUCAUUUUAUACCCCACCGGCUUCACUGAGACAACAGAUGUCCUUUUAGAAAAGGAAGAGGCAUUGAUGCAGCAUCUACCGAGUGAGGGACUGUGGUAAGUACUCCACACAUAUCACUUUCUGCCAUGUAAAAAAAUCUGCAAGGUCUGUAUUAUUUUCAUUUUGUAAAUGAGGAAACUGAGGCUCAGAUACAUUAAGAAACAUGCUCAGAACCACAAAGCUAGUAAUUGGCAGAAGCAGGAUUUAAAAACAUUCUUAUCCCAAAUCUGUGUUCUCUUGAUUUGCCAUUGGAAAUUCAGAGAUAUUUAUAAAAACAUGCAGUUUUUAAAAUAAGAUAUUACUUCUUAAUUUAAUUUAAUUUAAAAGUAAGGGCCAAGAAGGUACAGGCACGACUAUGUGGGAAUUAUAGAUACAAGGGUAAAGAACACAAAAUGUGCUAAAUCCGGACAUCUAGAGAUAUGGACGUUGAUCUGAUUGGCUGUUAAGGUUUCUUCCUUCCUCUGCCCACUUUGGUGGUUUUCUCAGUAAGAGUUCAGAAAAACUAAGAUGCAGAGGGACGACCUGGUGAAUUUUUCAUGUGAAGUGUUUUUUCAUGGAC